GAUGAAGAACGCAGUGAAAUGCGAUAAGUAAUGUGAAUUGCAGAAUUCAGUGAAUCAUCGAAUCUUUGAACGCACAUUGCGCCCGCCAGUAUUCUGGCGGGCAUGCCUGUUCGAGCGUCAUUUCAACCAUCAAGCCCCCGGCUUGUGUUGGGGACCUGCGGCUGCCGCAGGCCCUGAAAUGCAGUGGCGGGCUCGCUGUCACUCCGAGCGUAGUAGUUACAUCUCGCUCUGGGCGUGCUGCGGGUUCCGGCCGUUAAAAGCCUUAUUUACCCAAGGUUGACCUCGGAUCAGGUAGGAAGACCCGCUGAACUUAAGCAUAUCAAUAGCGGAGGA
rnacentral:misc_RNA from 1 species